rnacentral:rRNA from 1 species
UGGGGAAUAUUGCACAAUGGGGGAAACCCUGAUGCAGCGACGCCGCGUGGAGGAAGAAGGUCUUCGGAUUGUAAACUCCUGUUGUUGGGGAAGAUAAUGACGGUACCCAACAAGGAAGUGACGGCUAACUACGUGCCAGCAGCCGCGGUAAAACGUAGGUCACAAGCGUUGUCCGGAAUUACUGGGUGUAAAGGGAGCGCAGGCGGGAAGACAAGUUGGAAGUGAAAUCUAUGGGCUCAACCCAUAAACUGCUUUCAAAACUGUUUUUCUUGAGUAGUGCAGAGGUAGGCGGAAUUCCCGGUGUAGCGGUGGAAUGCGUAGAUAUCGGGAGGAACACCAGUGGCGAAGGCGGCCUACUGGGCACCAACUGACGCUGAGGCUCGAAAGUGUGGGUAGCAAACAGGAUUAGAUACCCUGGUAGUCCACACCGUAAACGAUGAUUACUAGGUGUUGGAGGAUUGACCCCUUCAGUGCCGCAGUUAACACAAUAAGUAAUCCACCUGGGGAGUACGACCGCAAGGUUGAAACUCAAAGGAAUUGACGGGGGCCCGCACAAGCAGUGGAGUAUGUGGUUUAAUUCGACGCAACGCGAAGAACCUUACCAGGUCUUGACAUCCCUUGACAGACAUAGAAAUAUGUAAUCUCUUCGGAGCAAGGAGACAGGUGGUGCAUGGUUGUCGUCAGCUCGUGUCGUGAGAUGUUGGGUUAAGUCCCGCAACGAGCGCAACCCUUAUGGUCAGUUACUACGCAAGAGGACUCUGGCCAGACUGCCGUUGACAAAACGGAGGAAGGUGGGGAUGACGUCAAAUCAUCAUGCCCUUUAUGACUUGGGCUACACACGUACUACAAUGGCGUUAAACAAAGAGAAGCAAGACCGCGAGGUGGAGCAAAACUCAGAAACAACGUCCCAGUUCGGACUGCAGGCUGCAACUCGCCUGCACGAAGUCGGAAUUGCUAGUAAUCGUGGAUCAGCAUGCCACGGUGAAUACGUUCCC